AUGUUUGGGAUGUCAACACUGCUGACUUUAUUUUACGUUACUAUCCGUAAAAUAAAUCUGGAGAAAUCUGAUCAGACAUUGUUGAAUUUAUGUCAGAUGUGAGACGUCAUUUCAGUAUUGAGAUGCACUGUGAUCACAUUGGCAAUAUAAAUGGUAAUCAUUAAAACUCAUAUUUGCGCACAUAAGGGAUACUGUAUUAACAUUUCACCUUCUUAAACAAGUGUUCUACUGGCAGAUGUUUAUUGGACGCUGCUUACAUGCAGGUUCACAGGCACAUUAGCAACUAUGGCAACAAAAAAGUUCACAUUUAGUCACCAGCACCACCAUGAAGACUAGUUGUUUCAGGGAAAAACAAACUCUACUCAACAGUCCAAAAGUGAUCCAUCCUUGUAUCGCGGAGUCUAUGUUGAUGAAUUUGUUAUUGCAUCUCUAUGUUAGUGUAUUAGUCUUAAACCAAAGCUGAGUGAGGUUGCAUACUAACGUUGAACAGAUAUUUCUAACACUCCACGGAGACCAAAAACUACCUCACAAAACCUACUCACUUUCACAAGCACAAUAUAUCACAUAUGGAUGGAUUCAGCCUGGGAAUGAAUAUCAGAUGACCCACUUAUAUAUAAUUGAUAGAAAACAUGUUUUCUUUGUAUCACAUUAAGUUGAUUCAUAGCAGUUCAAACAAUAUAAGACAAUGAUGGAGUGUUGGCAUGUUCAUACAGUGGUUAAGAUGAACAAGGUAUACAAAACAUUACAAGGAAUGUUAUUUAUGUGUUGGUCAAAGCAUGCAAGGCUAAUAUCAGAUAGCUGGGACGUUGUACAAUUGCAUGAAGCAACAUUGCAGCAUACUGGAGAAUGAAACAAAAGCAAUAACGCCAAAAAGCAUGAUGGAAAUCAAAAAUGGUAACUAUUUUAGGUAACUAUAAUCAUUUUAAGUGGUUACCAGUAAAACAGGUUAACUUUUAAAAGUUAAUCCACAUCAAGUAUCUGUAUGCCAGACACCUGCUUUGUUACAUUCCCCCGAUGCUA